CAUUGGCCCUUUGAGCUACAUUCACGUGCAUAGAAAAUAACAUUGUCAGACGUGUCAUCCCCAGAUACAAUGGACAAUAUGCUAUUAUAAUUGUAUGGCAUUGUCCUUGCUGUUUGGAGAUAAUACUGCUGACUUUAUUCCUCUCAUACAUGUGAAUGCGGCUGUGGGGAAUACGUG
rnacentral:pre_miRNA from 1 species